UACGUAUGGUGCAAGCGUUAUCCGGAUUUACUGGGUGUAAAGGGAGCGUAGGCGGCGCGUUAAGUCUGAUGUGAAAACCCGAGGCUCAACCACGGGAGUGCAUUGGAAACUGGCGAGCUGGAGUGCCGGAGAGGUAAGCGGAAUUCCUAGUGUAGCGGUGAAAUGCGUAGAGAUUAGGAAGAACACCAGUGGCGAAGGCGAUUCUCUGGACUGUAACUGACGCUGAGGCUCGAAAGCGUGGGGAGCAAACAGG
rnacentral:rRNA from 1 species